rnacentral:rRNA from 1 species
CAGCCGCCGCGGGAAUACGGAGGGUGCAAGCGUUAAUCGGAAUUACUGGGCGUAAAGCGCACGCAGGCGGUCUGACAAGUCAGAUGUGAAAUCCCCGGGCUUAACCUGGGAACUGCAUUUGAAACUGUCAGGCUGGAGUCUUGUAGAGGGGGGUGGAAUUCCAGGUGUAGCGGUGAAAUGCGUAGAGAUCUGGAGGAAUACCGGUGGCGAAGGCGGCCCCCUGGACAAAGACUGACGCUCAGGUGCGAAAGCGUGGGGAGCAAACAGGAUUAGAUACCCCGGUAGUCCCUGUCUCUUAUAA